rnacentral:pre_miRNA from 1 species
AAGAUACUCCCUCCGUCCUAAAAUAAGUGUCUCAACUUUGUACUAACUUUAGUGCAAAGUUGUACUAAGGUUGAGACACUUAUUUUGGGACGGAGGGAGUAUAAG